rnacentral:tRNA from 1 species
GAAGGUAUAGCUCAGUGGUAGAGUACAUGUUCAGCAUGCAUGAGGUUGUGGGUUCAAGCCCCAGUACCUCCA